CAAUAAGAUUGUUAUACUGGAGUUAAACUUGAAGUAGUUUGGGAUGCCUCAACAUAUUUAGUCCAUAUAUAUAUUGCUUUCGUAGUAAUUAUGCAAACGUCUUCUUAAGAGUAAUAAAUUAAUUAUUAAUGAAUUUUGACCCAAAAAACGCAAAUUGAACAAGCCAAUCAGUCAAAGAGUAAUAAAUUAAUUAUUACUAGGUCCGUCUUGUAACUUAUGUUUGUGAAACUUGUCAGUUGUCGUCCAAAGGGACAUACACAAAAUAAAGUGUUGACUACAUAAUAACAAAAUCUAUACUACUAAAAGAGAAUUAUCCCAAAAAUUUACUAUACAAAAGUCAUUGGACCUAUUUAUUAGAAACUUAACAAACUAAUAUAUAUAUAUAUAUAUAUAUAUAUAUAACUAUGUGACUAUUACUGUGAGGUUAUUAAUAUUAAACUCAUUGUUUUUUAUCCUAUUUUUGUGGAUAAUUCUACCUAACUUAUACUUCUAUUUAAUUAAAAUAUGAAUUAUAUUAUUUUACUAUUUACUAAGCCUAUCUAUCUAACCAUAUAUAUGUAAUUUACGACAUUAUGGAAUUCUCUUUUACUUUUUACUAAAUUUAUUUUCUAAUAAAAAAAUUUACCAAACAAUCACAAAAGCUUGAUAACACAUGUUAUAAUAUUUUGUGGCAAUUAAGAUUGUUAAUAAAAUUGAUGAAACAGUAUUGUAUAAAAAUAUAAACCAUUUUGUCUAUGUCAUGAAGAUUAGCCAACAUUGGUCAAAGCAAUAUCAAUCUUUAUAGCAGAUUUUUUUUUAUAGCAGAAUUUUCACAAAAUUUAUACUAUAUUAUUUGUAUAUCUAUAAAAUCAUACACCAUAACAUUACAUGAUUCCUACGCUAAAGACUUUUUUCUUUGUAUGUAUAUAGAAUUAUUUGUUUUUAAAAAUUAUCUAUUAUUAAUUAAGAAUAUCAAUAUAAUAUGAUAAUAUCUAUCAGUUUUUGAAAAAACUAUUCCUAAAUUUAUGAAAAAGUUUAAAUCUCACUAAUGACAAUUUUGUCCAUUGAUCUUGGGGUUAUAAGAUAGAUUUAAAUGGAUCAGAUUUGCAAACAAUAAUGUAAGUUAAAUGGUGAGAGGUUAGAUUUGAUUUUUACAUCCGUGGAUCGGGAGAUAACUUUUUUAUAAAAUACUUUGGACUCCAAUGUGUAAUUUAAAGGAUCAAUUUUCUGAAUGUAUUCACAUAUAGUAGAACUCAACUUCUUUACAUUAUCAAAAAGCCUACUUUAAUUUAACUUCUUUAUAUAACCCACUUUCAAUAGUAUUAUGUAUAAAAUAUAAUGUUGUUCUAUAAAACUAAACGAACUUCAAACAUAUAUUUACAAAUUUCCGAACGGGUAUUAGGUAGGACUUGUACCUGAACCGAAGUCCAAGAAAUUCAAUAAUUACUCUAGCCUAGACUCGGACAUGAACCAAACAUUUUUGAAUCGGUUAUGGUUUGAAUUUUCGAGUCUGGAUAGACUGUCCAAACCUAUAAAAACUAACAUAUAUUAUAUCUUUUUUAAUUAUGUUUUAAAGAAUAAACAUGUGUUUUCGAAGCGCGGAUCAAAAUAUAGUAUUUAUUAAUGGUUAAUCAAGAAUUUAUAAAUGUUUUUAUAAGAAGGCCAACUCCUACAAAACACCAAAAAAAUAAAAUUAGUGUAAUUUUAUUUUGGGGAAAUUUUACUUAUACACUUUAUUUGAUACAUUUAUUCAACUUUACCACCAACCAAAAGGCAUUUUCAUAAAUAUCACAUUCAUUAAUUUGUAAAAGACUAAAUUACUCUAACCUAAUCUUUUUCUCCGUCGUGUUUUUUCUUUCUCUGUCGUGACCCAUCGCCCCUCUCCGUCGAAAUCGGUCUCUUUCCGUCGAGAUCUAUCUCUCUCCGUCGAGAUCCGUCGUCUCUCUCCGUUGAGAUCCGUCGUCCUCCUUCGUUGAGAUUUAUCGUCAAAACCUCUGGCAUCAGAUCAUCUUUGAUCACUUCACAGGUUUGAGGAGAUUGUAGAAUCUGGGUUUUUACCAUUCAAGUCUAUUUCAGGUUUAUGGAUUACGAUUUGUUGCAAUAUUGAGAUUCAGAAUAUUCAUCAAUCUGAAGAGGGUAAAUGUUUGAUUUGAGAUGAGUAUGCAAUGUGAUUUUUUGUUUUGAAAUUUUUUGAAUUGGGUUUACGAGUUUAUUAAAGACUCUGAUUAUUGAGACUUUAGCACUGUAAUCAUUUAUAAGGAUUUAUUAGAUAAUUUAUAAGAGUUUGUAAAAUUCAAUUGUUAUUUAGAGUAGAAGCUUAGUCUAAGUACUAGUCAAGAGAGAGAUGACAUAGUGAUAGUGGUUGCUAGAGAAUUGUAUUGUCAAGAUUCUCUUGCUAUAAUAGUGAACCGGUAAUUUCCAUUCUCUUUUCAAAAAGCGAAGCUUUUGGAUAUUAUCUUAAUCUGCCUCUCUUUACUGGUGGUUCCAAAAAAGUCACAUUUUUCUGUACAUUUUCAUGGCAGUUUAUAUCAAUUGAGAAGAGACUACUGACUCAUAAGGAUUCGCAUUGCAACGUAAUGCCAAAAAUUUGAUCUUUUGUAAUGAAACUUGAUAGAUUCUUUGUUACCAAGUGUACUUUAGAUAUGAACUCUGUUAUUGUGCAGUCUUCAGAAGAUUUGAAGAAGGAGAUUGCUGCACUUGAGUUUGAGAUUCUGCGUAUAGAACAGUAUCUUCUCUCUCUUUACAUGGCAUCUUUUGAUGAACAAGUUACUUCAUUCUCUCCACACACUGAAACAAGCUUAGUCUCACAAUCAGACCUUACUGGGGUGUGCUCAGCUACCAUUAUCAAGCAUCUCUUGUGUCUGAACGUUCCUCUUCAUGUCCUUGGAGUUUCCAAGCCAGCUUAAAAGCCUUUUUUACAAAUGAGAAUACAAGAUAUGUUUAUGGUCAUCACACUACCCUUAAAGAUCUUCUAGGCUCAUCUCACAUCGUAGAUGACAUG